CUUAACCUAUUCUCAAACUUUAAAUGGGUAACGAUAAGGUAACUUUCUUGAUAUGAAGUUCAAGGUUAUGAUAUAAUGUGCCCAGUGGGCCACUUUUGGUAAGCAGAACUGGCGCUGUGGGAUGAACCAAACGUAAUGUUACGGUGCCCAAAUUAACAACUCAUGCAGAUACCAUGAAAGGCGUUGGUUGCUUAAAACAGCAGGACGGUGAUCAUGGAAGUCGAAAUCCGCUAAGGAGUGUGUAACAACUCACCUGCCGAAGCAACUAGCCCUUAAAAUGGAUGGCGCUUAAGUUGUAUACCUAUACAUUACCGCUAAAGUAGAUGAUUUAUAUUACUUGUGAUAUAAAUUUUGAAACUUUAGUGAGUAGGAAGGUACAAUGGUAUGCGUAGAAGUGUUUGGCGUAAGCCUGCAUGGAGCUGCCAUUGGUACAGAUCUUGGUGGUAGUAGCAAAUAAUCGAAUGAGACCUUGGAGGACUGAAGUGGAGAAGGGUUUCGUGUGAACAGUGGUUGAUCACGAGUUAGUCGGUCCUAAGUUCAAGGCGAAAGCCGAAAAUUUUCAAGUAAAACAAAAAUGCCUAACUAUAUAAACAAAGCGAAUAUAAUACACUUGAAUAAUUUUGAACGAAAGGGAAUACGGUUCCAAUUCCGUAACCUGUUGAGUAUCCGUUUGUUAUUAAAUAUGGGCCUCGUGCUCAUCCUGGCAACAGGAACGACCAUAAAGAAGCCGUCGAGAGAUAUCGGAAGAGUUUUCUUUUCUGUUUUAUAGCCGUACUACCAUGGAAGUCUUUCGCAGAGAGAUAUGGUAGAUGGGCUAGAAGAGCAUGACAUAUACUGUUGUGUCGAUAUUUUCUCCUCGGACCUUGAAAAUUUAUGGUGGGGACACGCAAACUUCUCAACAGGCCGUACCAAUAUCCGCAGCUGGUCUCCAAGGUGAAGAGUCUCUAGUCGAUAGAAUAAUGUAGGUAAGGGAAGUCGGCAAAUUAGAUCCGUAACUUCGGGAUAAGGAUUGGCUCUGAAGAUUGAGAUAGUCGGGCUUGAUUGGGAACAUAACAUGGUUAUGUGCUCGUUCUGGGUAAAUAGAGUUUCUAGCAUUUAUGUAGUUACUUGUUCCCCGGAUAGUUAGUUACGUAGCCAAUUGUGGAACUUUCUUGCUAAAAUUUUUAAGAAUACUAUUUGGGUUAAACCAAUUAGUUCUUAUCAAUUAUAACGAUUAUCAAUUAACAAUCAAUUCAGAACUGGCACGGACUUGGGGAAUCCGACUGUCUAAUUAAAACAAAGCAUUGUGAUGGCCCUAGCGGGUGUUGACACAAUGUGAUUUCUGCCCAGUGCUCUGAAUGUCAAAGUGAAGAAAUUCAAGUAAGCGCGGGUCAACGGCGGGAGUAACUAUGACUCUCUUAAGGUAGCCAAAUGCCUCGUCAUCUAAUUAGUGACGCGCAUGAAUGGAUUAACGAGAUUCCUACUGUCCCUAUCUACUAUCUAGCGAAACCACAGCCAAGGGAACGGGCUUGGAAUAAUUAGCGGGGAAAGAAGACCCUUUUGAGCUUGACUCUAAUCUGGCAGUGUAAGGAGACAUAAGAGGUGUAGAAUAAGUGGGAGAUAUUAGACCUCGGUUUGGUAUCGUCAAUGAAAUACCACUACUCUUAUUGUUUCCUUACUUACUUGAUUAAAUGGAACGUGUAUCAUUUCCUAGCCAUUAUACGGAUAUAUUUAUUAUAUCUUAUGGUAUUGGGUUUUGAUGCAAGCUUCUUGAUCAAAGUAUCACGAGUUUGUUAUAUAAUCGCAAACAAAUUCUUUAAUAAAACGAUGCAUUUAUGUAUUUUUGAUUUGAAAAUUUGGUAUAACUCCAAUUACUCAGGUAUGAUCCAAUUCAAGGACAUUGCCAGGUAGGGAGUUUGACUGGGGCGGUACAUCUCU
rfam:Drosophila sechellia strain Rob3c scaffold_6034 genomic scaffold, whole genome shotgun sequence.